rnacentral:rRNA from 1 species
GACGAACGCUGGCGGCGUGCCUAACACAUGCAAGUCGAACGGAGAUGAUGGGAUAGCUUGCUAUUUAAUCAUCUUAGUGGCGGACGGGUGAGUAACACGUGGGCAACCUGCCCCAAAGAGGGGGAUAACACCGAGAAAUCGGUGCUAAUACCGCAUAACAUUAGAGCUUCGCAUGGAGCUUUAAUCAAAGGAGCAAUCCGCUUUGGGAUGGGCCCGCGUCUGAUUAGCUAGUUGGUGAGGUAACGGCUCACCAAGGCGACGAUCAGUAGCCGAUCUGAGAGGAUGACCGGCCACACUGGAACUGAGACACGGUCCAGACUCCUACGGGAGGCAGCAGUGGGGAAUAUUGCACAAUGGGGGAAACCCUGAUGCAGCAACGCCGCGUGGAGGAAGAAGGUCUUCGGAUUGUAAACUCCUGUCUUCUGGGACGAAUAAUGACGGUACCAGGAGGAGGAAGCCACGGCUAACUACGUGCCAGCAGCCGCGGUAA